AGCGCGCACGAGAGAGAUAGACAGCGCGUGCGCACGAGAGAGAGAGAGACAGCGCGCGCGCACAGCAGAGAGAAAGCGCGCACGCAAGAGAGAGACAGCGCACGCGAGAGAGAGACAGCGUGAGAGAGACAGCGCGAGAGAAAGAGAGAGACAGUGCGCACGCGCGAGAGAGACAGCGCGCACGCCUGAGAGAGAGAGACAGUACGUGUGAGAGAGAGCGCACGCGAGAGAGAGACAGCGUGCGCGUGAGAGAAACAGCGCGCGCGUGAGAGAGUGAGACAGCGUGUGAGAGAGAGACAGCGCGCGAGAGAGAGACAGCGCAUGAGAGAGAGACAGACAGUGCGAGAUAAAGAGACAGACAGUGCGAGAGAGAGAGACAGCAAGCACCAGAGAGACAGGGCACGUGCGAGAGAGACAGCGCAAGUGCGAGAGAGACAGCGCGAAAGAGAGAGGAGAGAAGAGUGCGAAAGCGAGAGAGAGAGAAAGAGAGAGAGAGAGAGAGGGGGGGGGACAGGAUUUGUGAUGGGAUUAAAACAAGGGCGCCGAUUCCUCUUCACGUCAUCCCAACACUAACACAUCACCACAUCUCAUUGUACACCUCACACGAGCGUCUCUUCAACUCCCUGGGGAUUGAGUACACCAUGUUCCCCCACUCUCUGGGGAUUGAGUACACCAUGUUCCUCCACUCUCUGGGGAUUGAGUACACCAUGUUCCUCCACUCUCUGGGGAUUGAGUACACCAUGUUCCUCCACUCUCUGGGGAUUGAGUACACCAUGUUCCUCCACUCUCUGGGGAUUGAGUACACCAUGUUCCUCCACUCUCUGGGGAUUGAGUACACCAUGUUCCUCCACUCUCUGGGGAUUGAGUACACCAUGUUCCUCUACUCUCUGGGGAUUGAGUACACCAUGUUCCUCCACUCUCUGGGGAUUGAGUACACCAUGUUCCUCUACUCUCUGGGGAUUGAGUACACCAUGUUCCUCCACUCUCUGGGGGUUGAGUACACCAUGUUCCUCCACUCUCUGGGGAUUGAGUACACCAUGUUCCUCCACUCUCUGGGGAUUGAGUACACCAUGUUCCUCCACUCUCUGGGGAUUGAGUACACCAUGUUCCUCUACUCUCUGGGGAUUGAGUACACCAUGUUCCUCCACUCUCUGGGGAUUGAGUACACCAUGUUCCUCGUCUGAGG
rnacentral:lncRNA from 1 species